CCACCGGGAGCCAGCCUGGCUGUCGGCAUUGACCUGGACGGGAGGUUCCGGCUCUCUCUGCCUCCCCGCCCCCAUCAUUAACGCGUGGCGCCCCCCACCCCCGAGCAGAGGCGUUUCCAAGGGUCCCCCUGUUCACGCGCAGGAAAGGCCGCGGGCUGCCGCCUCCGAGCCGCGCGGAGCCUGACGGCCGCAGGAGCCAGCGCCAGGUGCGGGAUGAGGAGCCCGCGCCCCGGCCCGUAGUGGGGGCUUGGCAAACGUUUGCGGGGUAAGCGACCCCCCCCCCCCAGGAGCGGAGGAAAACCAUCUCUGAGGCAGUCAUUGUCCGGAACUCCCCCCGCCCCGGCGAGGGAGGGAGGGGCUUUGUCCGAAGGGAAUCAGGGGCCGUGCUGAGGCAGGCUCCCGGCCCCCCCCGCCCCCCAGCAGGAAGGGGGGAACACGCAGCGGCGGGGGCGGGGGCGGGUUGAUUCCCUCCGCGCGCCCGCUGUAGCCGCCCUCCUUCUCCCGGCUGCUUCGGGGGGACUGAAUUUGCAAUUCAGGGGCUUUGGCCGGUGCGCAGCGUUAACCGCCCGGGGACAGCGAAGCGCCCGCGUCCGCCCCGCGCCCUCCGGCCAGCCAGAGGGGGCGGAGCGCUCCGCGGCGUGCUCUCUGACUCAUCCCCGCCCGGACCGGGAAGCGGCCGCCGGCGGGCCCCGGGAUUCUCGGGCCCGGGCGGGCCCCGAGGCCGGCGCUGCUCUGCGGGCUCUGCCUGCGCGCCGGCUGCUCGGACCCCUUUAUUGUAUGCGCGCCGGGAGGUGCCUGGGCGUCCCCAGCGCGGGCGGGCCCGUGCCCAGGAUGCUCGGAAGCAGGCAUAAGGGCAGGCACGCGCGGGGGCCCCCCCAGGCGCGGCGGAGCACGCGCGCACGCCCAGAACCCCAAGCUUUAGUGUCUGGCUCAGUAUGCACUUGGUGAGACUCUCCAGUGGGUUUCAGCACUUGAUUGAGCCUCACGUCUGCUAACAGGACACAGCGAACCACUGAUUUAGACAUGGCCAGAGACCCCAAAGGGAGCCGGGCCCGGCCCGGCCAGAAGCGACAGCACAGCGCUACCCUCUACCACAGUAACUGUGACCUGAACUAUGAGCUGUAUCGGGAAGACUUCCCCUACAGGGUGUAUGAAUAUCAGAGGAUCCCCCCACUUAUCAACCGAGCGCCUGUCAAGAGCAGACGGACUCACAUGGGAACAGGGGGCAAGAGUGGCCUCAACCCCCACAUCCCCCCACGAAGCAACAACCCACCCCCUGUCCGGACAAAGUUAAGAGCUGAGGAGCUGCACUCGAUCAAGGGGGAGCUGAGCCAGAUCAAAGCCCAGGUGGACAGUCUGCUCGAGAGUCUGGAGCGCAUGGAUCAGCGGCGAGACCGGCUGGGAGGGCCCCAAGACAGUGAGAAGAAGGUGGCCUCGGCCGGCGGGGAGUCCUCCAGUGCGGCCACGGAGGCCCAGCGGGAGCCCAGGGGCAAAGAGAGCCCGGAGGCCAGAGCUCGCAGCCGCAGGGAGGCCGACAGUGCUGAAGAGAGCACGGACACGGAGGAGGCGGUGAGGAUGAAAAACCACACAUCGGACCCUGACGGGAGCCAGUAGAAGCACUGGGGCCCUUCCUGGGUCGGCCUCCCAGCCGGUGCCACGUGAGACCUGCCCUCCAGCCUCUCCUCCAGAAGCUGGGCACAAGUCCCUGAGGUGCAGGCCUAGAGAAUGGGCCUGGGGAGGCAGGAAAAUCCAGCAGGUCUAGAAUUUCCCUUUGAAAAAACUCCACCCUCCUUUCCUCUGUGCUGUUUCCCCCACCUCAUGAAAAAGGGGUUCCCUUGGUAGUAAGGCUUGGCAGGACGGGCAUUUGGGGGAAGCAUCUGGGCCAACAAUUCCAAGUUCUUCCCAAAUUGCUCAGUGAUGAUUUUCAGUUCCCCGUCCCCACCGGGUACCCACUCAUUUCUUCUUGAAGAAACAUUCCCAGGGGUAGAAACCCCCCCAUCUCUUGGACAGUCAGUCCAUUUACAACAGUAUUGGCUCUCUUCCUGGCUCCAGCAGACACGACCCAGGUUUUGCUCUCAAUAUUAGCCAUUCGACACAGAAACCCCCAGUGUUCCUUAUGGGGCUCCCCCAGCUUUCUUUCUGCCCAGCCAGUGUUGGGGAGACAUUGGCCGCAUACCCCCUCAUCCCCGCGAUGUGAGGUGAGAUCGAUACCAUUCUGUGCUUUCUCUGGUCCCCGAGAACCCCUACCAAGCCAGGCCAAGGGCAGCCGCCUCAGCUCCUGGUGGCUCAUCAAGGUUCCCCCUUUUCCCAGCACCCCGUGGCUUCAAUGUUUUGCACUAUUAGCCUUCAUGUGACCCCUUCUUCUCCCCCGGCCCCUGCAGAAUUCCAUACCCACAGUGGUGCAUGGGAAAUGAGUUCUGUUUCCGACAGGUGCGUUUCUGCUCCGUAGAAGAUAAGUCAGGUCCUUGGUCGAUGUUGCCCCGGUUAGCCCCGUUACUUCCUUGUCCCCCCUUCCCCCAUGCUGUCCUUUCAGAACAGGUGUAGUUCAUUCUUAUGUCCAGUUUCUAGCUUGUCUUCUUGCUGGUAUGAUACUGUGUAUUUCAAAUCUGCUCUGGAAAAGUGUAUUGUGUUGAAAGGAAAAAAAAUUAAAAGUUUGUAUUUCUUUUCUCUGGUUAAAUCGAUUCUGUAUGAGUUCCUUCUCUGCUCUCCCCCAACCACGUUGCAGGCCCUGGGCCCUUCCAGGGUUCCUGGGACCGACCCUCCAGAUCAAAACACCCAGACGGCCCUAGACCUCC
ensembl:lncRNA